rnacentral:rRNA from 1 species
CCUACGUGAGGUAGCAGUGGGGAAUAUUGCGCAAUGGGCGAAAGCCUGACGCAGCGACGCCGCGUGAGGGAUGAAGGUCUUCGGAUCGUAAACCUCUGUCAGCAGGGAAGAACGGUCACUGUGCUAAUCAGCAGUGAAUUGACGGUACCUGCAAAGGAAGCACCGGCUAACUCCGUGCCAGCAGCCGCGGUAAUACGGAGGGUGCGAGCGUUAAUCGGAAUUACUGGGCGUAAAGCGCUCGUAGGCGGUAUGUCAAGUCAAGGGUGAAAUCCCCGCGCUCAACGUGGGAACUGCCUUUGAAACUGGCAAACUGGAGUGUGUUAGAGGAUAGUGGAAUUCCAGGUGUAGGAGUGAAAUCCGUAGAUAUCUGGAGGAACAUCAGUGGCGAAGGCGACUAUCUGGCACAUAACUGACGCUGAGGAGCGAAAGCGUGGGUAGCAAACAGGAUUAGAUACCCCAGUAGUC